GAGGGGCUGAUGGUUUUGAACUGCCGACUUUGUGGUUAGCAGCCCAACCCAUAACCCACCAUGCCACCAGGCUCUUUUGCCAUGGUAUGAACUAGCAAUUCAGAAGCUACUUUCUGUGAAUUGCAGGCUGAAGCACAGAGUGUGGAAGCUACUGAGAGCCAGGUUCCUGAGGAAGGAAGUUACCCACCGGAAGUGGGAAGAAAGCCACCUUGCGGAUCUGGAAUUUACAGUAGCGGAAGGAACUCUUUCUUUUGGAGAAGCUAGAACGGAAGUGCUCAAAGGAUCAUGGGACCGGACAAAAUGUAACAGGAGCCAACAAGAAGGGUUCUUCCUGGCCAAGCUGUUAUACAUCUGAGCAUCAGAGUAAACAACGACAAUCAUGUAGCCCAAGGACACUCACUGUAACCCAGACAAUAAAGUAAGCAGCAUUGUAUCCAUCCUAGCAGAAAGAAAGAAUGAAUAAACCACGAUUAGAAAACUCAUCAGCAGACUAUAGGACUGAUGGAGCUAGGAAAUCCCCACGUAAACCAUGGAUCAAAGUUUGAUGCACGGGACAUUCACCCUGUCUGAAAGCAACCACUGCCCAGUACUCACGAAUUACAAAUGGGAAAACAGUAACGUGGCACUGUAGGAACCCGCCUUCAAAGCGAACUCCCUCAGUAGAGCGCCAAACAAACCUUCCAGUAAAAACCACUUGGAAGGAAGGGCGGGGCUUCGUCUUGGUGGUCUUCCUCCCCAAACCAUAACCCAAGGAAGCCAAUGCAACAGGGUGUGCUGCAAAACGCCACACAAGGCGGGACGGUGAGGAGGCAGGGGUGGCUGGGGAACUGGUGCAGGUUAAAGGAGACUAAAGCGGACUGGCAAAUCUAUGAAGAACCUGGUCUAGAACUGAACCCUGGGCUGGGAGAAUGCCCUCCAGGUUACCACUGGGGCAAUUAAUGUGGGGAUUCCGUUACAACAUGAGAGAUUAAGUUGGGGUUCUAAUAUGGCCACAGAGUUGGCCCUGGCUCGUGGUGACCCACGUGUCAAGGCUAGAACUGUGCUCCACAGGCUUUUACUGGCUGGUUCUUCAGAAUUCAAUUGCCAGGACUUUCUUCGGAGGCACUUGUGGAAGGUUGGCAGUCAAGUGGGCCUAUGAGACAUUUGGUUCAUCCACGCCACCCUGGUUAAAUAAGGGAAGAGUCCUGAUGGUGUAGGGACCAGCAGUUCAAAACCCCUGGUGUUCCGAGAGAGGAAGAUGAGGCUUUCUACUCCUGUCUACAGGAGGCAGGCUCAGAAACCCACACGGGCAGUUCUACCCUGUUGUACCCUACGCAUCCAAAUGGGCUCGAUGACAGCAAGGUCUUGUUGUCAGAAGACUGUGGUCGCGCUUGGGAGAGAAACAAACGAGCAAGAUAAAAAUGGCUGGAACUUCCCACCACUUCCUUGCAGCUCCCCCUCAGGAUGACAAGCUUUGACUCAGCUCCCCCUCAGGAUGACAAGCUGUUACUCGAGGCAAGCUCCUUAGCCUCUUGGAUCAAGAGGGAGGCCUUGUGUCUUGCUUUGGCCAAUGAAAUGCUACAGAAACCCCACUGGGCCAGUUCUGAUCAGGGCCCUGGAACCGCCUCACACCAGGCUCGGAGGAUGGGUCAGGGAGAACAGAGAUAAGCUCCCACAGCUGAGGUCAUCUUACACCAUCCCGGCUGGCGGUGACCUCGGCCCACACAGUGAUUGCAAGCCUAAAUGAGACUGGCCCACAAAACCCUGAGUGGAAUAAAUGGCUGCCAGUUAAGCUGCCAAGGACCCUGACUGAGCAGUGGGUUACUCAUUGGGCUCCUAACCGGAGGGUCAGCAGUUUAGACCCAUCAGCACAUCUGAGGGAGAUGAGCCUUUCUGCUCCCGUAAAGAUGUAUGGCUUUGGAAACCCUAUGUAGGGUGGCUAAGCGCCCGAUACCAGAGGACCACAUUGUGUUUGGGCUUAUUUAAGUCACUAAGAUUUGGGCUAGGUUGUUACCUAGCAAAAGCUAACCGAUACAACCCACCACAAUCCGAUGAGGACCAUCAGCAUUCUGCUAACUCUAAGGUUCAGGAACGUUUCUCCUAUUUGCUAGCCCCUCUGGUACAAGCAUUGGGUAAAUCUGCUGCACAAAACCUCUUUAAAGUGUUGAAAAGCAAGAACGCUACUUUGAGGACAAAGGCGUGCCUGCCCCCCAAGCCAUAGUGCUGUGUCACAUGCACGUGAACGCUGGACACUGAAUAAGGAAGACCCAAGAAAAGCUGAUGUGUUUCCAUUGUGCUGCUGGCAAAGACUGCUGAAAGGGCCAUGACUGCCAUAAGGACAAAGGAAUCUGCCCGGGAGGACCCACAGCCAGAGCGCUCCUUGGAAGUAGGCAUGGCGAGACUGCAUCUCACACCAACUUUGCGCCCGUUGUCAGGAGAGAGCAGUCCCUGGAGGACAUCCUGUAGAGGGCAGUGAGGACGAGGGAGGCCCUGGACAGCAUGGACUGACACGCUGGCUACAACCCUGGCCUCCAGCAUCAGGACCAGUGCGAGGACGGCCCCGGCCCCGCCCGGAGGGGCCUCGUUUGGUUGCACAGGGUCGCUAUGAGCGGGAAGGCACCUGACAACAACAGGGUUUCUGGGCUGUAAUCCCCCAGAAGUAGACUGCCCCGUCUUCCUUCGCUGGGUGCUUUCAAACCAACUUUGAGGUGAGGAGCUGUGCAGGACUCUGUGCACCCCAGGGGUCCAACAGACAUACUUGACUCAGCAGCACCCAUCAGCUCUCACAGCCAACCUGCGGGCCGGAGCAGAGCCGUCCCCGGGCCUCCCGGGCUGCCAGCUGUCUGAAGAUCACGGCUGGGCCUUCUCUGCACGGGGUGCUGCUGGGCCUGCUCGGUGCCGGUCCAGCCUCAUGCCUGCCUCGAGGCUCCAUAGGCCAUUCUGACUCAGGGCCACCUGCAGAGCAGUCCAACUGCCUGGCUGGGGAACACAUCCAGCCAUCCUUCUCCUGCAGUCGGAGCCCACCAAGCAGCCCCACCUGGGCGCCUCCCACCCCCCACUCUAUGCCACCAGGGCUCCUUAGUGGACAGAUCAAAUGCAGUCUCUCCAGAAAGGGAGUAUCGCUUGGCAAAGAAAAACAAUAAAAUACUGAUACGUGCUGCAA